rnacentral:rRNA from 1 species
CGCGGCCUAUCAGCUUGUUGGUGGGGUAACGGCCUACCAAGGCGACGACGGGUAGCCGGCCUGAGAGGGCGACCGGCCACACUGGGACUGAGACACGGCCCAGACUCCUACGGGAGGCAGCAGUGGGGAAUAUUGCGCAAUGGGCGGAAGCCUGACGCAGCGACGCCGCGUGGGGGAUGAAGGCCUUCGGGUUGUAAACCGCUUUCAGCAGGGACGAAAUUGACGGUACCUGCAGAAGAAGGCCCGGCCAACUACGUGCCAGCAGCCGCGGUAAUACGUAGGGGCCUAGCGUUGUCCGGAAUUAUUGGGCGUAAAGAGCUCGUAGGCGGUUCGGCAAGUCGGAUGUGAAAUCUCCACGCUUAACGUGGAGGGGCCAUUCGAAACUGCUGUGACUCGAGUCCGGUAGGGGAGCGUGGAAUUCCCGGUGUAGCGGUGAAAUGCGCAGAGAUCAGGAGGAACACCCGUAGCGAAGGCGGCACUCUGGGCCGAUACUGACACUGAGGAGCGAAAGCGUGGGGAGCGAACAGGAUUAGAUACCCUGGUAGUCCACGCCGUAAACGUUGGGCACUAGGUGUGGGGUUCUAUCGACGGAUUCCGUGCCGUAGCUAACGCAUUAAGUGCCCCGCCUGGGGAGUAC